rnacentral:rRNA from 1 species
AUAAUCUUGGGAAACUGAGUCUAAUACCUGAUAUUAGAAAAAUACUGGAAUGUAUUUUCUUUGAAACUCGUGCCUAAGGAUGAGCCGGCGGCAGAUUAGGCUGUUGGCGGGGUAAUGGCCCACCAAACCAAUGAUCUGUAGGGGCCUUGAGAGAGGGAGCCCCGAGAGGGACACUGAGAUACUGGUCCCAGCCCUACGGGGUGCAGCAGGCGCGAAACCUUUACAAUGCACGAAAGUGUGAUAAGGGGAUCCGAAGUGCUUACACAUUAGUGUAGGCUUUUGCCAAAGUUAAAUCCUUUGGCGAAUAAGUGGUGGGCAAGACUGGUGCCAGCCGCCGCGGUAACACCAGCGCCACGAGUGGCAACCAUGAUUAUUGGGCCUAAAGCGUUCGUAGCCGGUUUAGUAAAUUUUCUGUGAAAUUGUUUCGCUUAACGAAACGACGUGCAGAAAACACUGCUAGACUUGAGACCGGGAGGAGCAAGGAGUAUUCUUGGGGGAGCGGUAAAAUGUUAUAAUCCCUUGAAGACUACCUGUGGCGAAGGCGCCUUGCUAGAACGGAUCUGACGGUGAGGGACGAAAGCCAGGGGAGCGAUCCGGAUUAGAUACCCGAGUAGUCCUGGCCGUAAACGCUGUGAUCUAGGUGUUGCACAUACUUCGAGUAUGUGCAGUGUCGAAGCGAAGGCAUUAAGAUCACCGCCUGGGAAGUACGGUCGCAAGACUGAAACUUAAAGGA